rnacentral:lncRNA from 1 species
GGUGUAGAAAGAAGAAUAGAAAUUGUGAUAACAAAAUCCUAAUUCUAAUAGAAUACUAACAAUGCUCUAAUUAGAGUAUAAUAAUGGUAAACAAACCUAAUCAAAUUCAAAACAACUCAAAGAAUUUUCAAACAAAUAAUAAAAUUCUUAAAAAAAUAUUAGAAUGAUCACAAAUAUUACUCAAAUAUAUGUCAAUUCAAUCUUAAUUUAAUUCUAGUUAAAAUCUUAUUGAAUUUCACUCAAACUUUAGACCAAACCUAAUUAAAUCUUAAACCCUAGUAAAUCCUAAACCCUAAGUCAAAUCCUAAACAAACCUUAAAUUAAAUCCUAAAUCAAACCCUAUUUCAAACCCUAAAUCCUAAACCAAACCCUAAAUCAAAUCCUAAACCAAAUCCUAAAUCAAAUCCUAAACCAAAUCCUAAAUCAAACCCUAAACCAAACCCUAAACCCUAAUCCAAACUCUAAUCCAACCCUAAACUCUAAUCCAAUCUUAAACCCUAAUCCAAAUCCUAAACCCUAAACCAAACCUUAAAUCAAAUCCUAAUCCAAAUUCUAAACCCUAAACCAAACCUUAAAUCAAAUCUUAAUCCAAAUCCUAAACCUUAAUCCAAAUCCUAAUCUAAAUCCUAAAUCAAACCCUAACCAAACUCUAAAUCCUAAUCCAAAUCCUAAUCCAACUCUAAAUCCUAAUCAAAUCCUAAAUCUUAAUCCAAAUUCUAAUCCAAACCCUAAAUCAAACACUAACCAAAUCCUAAUCCAAAUCCUAAAUCAAAAUCUAAUUAAACUCUAAAUCCUAAUUCAAAUCCUAAUUCAAAUCCUAAUCCAAAUCCUAAAUCAAACCCUAAUCAAAUCCUAAUCCAAAUCCUAACCUCUAAAUCAAAUCCUAAAUCGAACCUUAGCCAAACCCUAAUCCAAAUCCUAACGAUAAGAUUGAUAACAGCUUUAUAGCCCAAACGCUAUCCAACGGAGGAGUCACGUAUUGGACUAGUUGAAACUUUACUCACGGAGCAAGCUCUAUCAUGAUUUAUUCCUUUGUUUGAGAAAAGAUCAUCAAUUUUGAAAAACUUCGAAACUUUUUUGGAGGCAUUUACGGAAGUAUAUGGCAAACAUGACAAGGUGCGAUGGACUACAACAAAGAUUUGAUUACUACGACAAGGAGUAUGCUCUGCGUCAAUCUACGUAUCAAAUUUUAGACAAUUAGUAUGUGACAUCAAUUAGAACGAGGAAGCAUUGAUGAAUCAAUUUUAUUGGGGCUUGAAGGAAGACAUAAAGGAUUUGUUAUUAUCUCUUUUCAAUCUAUGAAUGCUCAACAAAGCCAUUAGUCAAGCUGUGAAGUGUAAUAAUUGCAUAUUCCAACAUCACCAAGACUAACGCUGAAGAUAAUAUAGAGCUCAUCACGCUCCAACUAUGUGAGCAAGUAGCCUAAAUUCACAUUCAGAGGUAGAAGACAUGCAAAUUGAUGCAGUACAUGUCAAAUUUCUAACUCUAGAAGAAAAAAAAACAGCGUAUGGAGGAAGGACUAUGCUUGUAUUGCAAUAAAGAAGGCCACAAAGCAGGAAACUGCCCUAAGAAGUAAAAUUGACGCAUUGUCAAGACCAAAGGUGCAUUUGUUCAAGAAAACAAGGAUGCCCAGCCACAAUAGGGACCGUGUGGCUGAACAAUUCAAUACCACAACAAUCAGGUUCCUCUCUUUUUGCUCAGCCUGCCCAUUGCUUUACCAUUCCUCUAUCUUUUCACCUUCAGAAAUUAAAAACCUUAAGGUUAUUAGAUUCAAAAGUAUCUGCUUACUUUUUAGACGAAGAAUUUGCUAAGCAUCAUGAGAUUCCUCUAGUAUAAAAAUCUAAAUUCGUUCACAUAGAAGUAAUAGAUGGACGACCUUUUUUGUCUUGUAGUAUCAUCUAUGAAUCAGAACCUAUAGAGGUGACGUUUAAAGACCAUAGUAGUUAUAUUAUUUUCAAUAUUAUUAAAAAUCCGUGAAACCCUAUUAUUCUUGAUCUUUCUUGGUUAGAAAUGCAUAACCCAUCCAUAGAUUGGAGGUUCCUAUAAAACAUCUUGAGAGUAAACCUAUUAGAAGAUCCCGAAUCAAAAAAUCCUUAUUUAUUGGAGCAAGAGCUUUUCUAACAUCGUCCAAGACAUGUACACCGUUUGUUAUUUAUGCGACUCCAACUAGCGGAGAGAAGAUUUUGAUAGCAAAUAUAUCAGAGCAAUAUAAGGAUUUCAAAGACGCAUUUCAAAAGAAGAAUGCCGACAUGCUACCGGAGCAUUGACCAUAUGAUUGUACCAUAGACUUGCAGGAUGGAGCACAACUAUCUUUUGGUCCAAUCUAUAAUUUGUCACACAUGGAGUUAACGGAGUUGCAAAAGUACAUUGACGAGAAUCUAGCCAAAAACUUCAUUUGUCAUUCAAAGUCACCAGUUGGGGCACCAAUCUUAUUUGUGAAGAAGAAAGAUGACUCACUACGGAUGUGCAUGGAUUAUCAAGGUCUCAACAAGGUGAUAAAGAAGAAUCGUUAUCCAUUAUCCUUGAUAUCAGGUCUUCUAGAACAACUUGAGCAUGCAAAGAUCUUUACAAAGAUUGAUAUAAGAGGAACUUACAACCUCGUGCAAAUCAAGAAAGGAGAUGAAUGGAAGAUAGCUUUCCAUACAAGAUAUGGCCAUUUUGAAUAUAAUGUUAUGCCUUUUGGUCUUAUCAAUGCUCCGGCGGUCUUUCAAUACAUGUUGAAUGACAUCUUUCGGAAGCACCUUAAUGAUUUUGUUGUCAUCUAUCUAAAUGAUAUUUUGAUAUUUUCCAAAAACAUAGAAGAGCAUAAGAAACAUGCUCGUCUGGUCCUUGAAAAACUCCACGAGUGAGGACUUUACGCCAAAUUAGAGAAGUGCUUGUUUAACCAAACUGAGAUGGAAUUUUUGGAAUUCAUUACAACUACGGAAGGUUUGAAGAUGGACCGUAAGAAGGUGGAAGCAAUUGUAUCAUGGAAAGUCCCAAAGACAAUUAGAGAUGUACAAUGCUUUCUUGGCUUUGCUAACUUCUAUCAAAUCUUCAUCAAGAAUUAUUCUCAAGUUGUUACUCCGCACACUCAGUUGACAUGUAAAGACAAACUCGAAUGGCGACUUCUAGUAGAAAAAGCAUUUCAAGAUCUUAAGACAGCAUUUACUAUGGCUCCAAUCUUGGUACAUUCAGACUUUGUAAAGGCCUUCUAUUUAGAAACCGAUGCUUCAGAUUUUGCUAUGGGAGCUGUACUUUAACAGAUAGGUAUAAAUGAGAAGCUUCAUCCAGUUGCAUUCUACUCUCGAAAGUUUUUUGCUGUCGAGAUCAACUAUGAGAUCCAUGAUAAAGAACUUCUUGCGAUAGUGGAUUCUUUUUAAGAGUGGCUCCACUUUCUCGAAGGAGCUUUGCAUUCGGUGUCAUAAUGUGUGAAGUCUUGCUUGAGAAUGCAUCGAGCACCUAGCUGUAGAAGGAAGAAUAGAAAUUGCAAUAACAAAAUCCUAAUUCUAAUAGAAUACUAAUAAUACUCUAAUUAGACUAUAAUAAUGGUAAACAAACGUAAUCAAAUUCAAAACAACUCAAAAAAAUUUCAAACAAACAAUAAAAUUCUUAAAAAAAUAUUAGAAUGAUCACAAAUAUUACUCAAAUAUAUGUCAAUUCAAUCUUAAUUUAAUUCUAGUUAAAAUCCUAUUGAAUUUCACUCAAACUUUAGACCAAACCUAAUUAAAUCUUAAACCCUAAUAAAUCCUAAAUCCUAAAUCAAAUCCUAAACAAACCUUAAAUUAAAUCCUAAAUCAAACCCUAUUUCAAACCCUAAAUCCUAAACCAAACUCUAAAUCAAUUCCUAAAGUAAACCCUAAAUCCUAAUCCUAAAGGCAUAUAACCUGUUACUGAACUAUGAGUUGUACGAUCUGCCCUCAAUGCAAAUGGUAGUAGCCUACGCCAUUCAUGUGCUUUGCCAUUGCAUGCCUUUACUAAUGCCUUAAUAAUAGGUAAAUGCCCAUGCUCACUUUUUCCAUUACCUUCUGGGUUAUAUGCUGUUGUCAAAGAAAGUUUAAUUCCUAUUCUACUAAAAAAAUCUCGUGCUUCUUUUGUAUCCAAUUCACCUUUAUCCGUCAUAAUUUUUUCAAUACAUCCAUAAUGACAAAUAACUUCUUCUAAUAGAAAUCGACAUAUACCUUUAGUAUACUUUAUUUUUGAUGCUCGUCAUUCAACCAUAGUCGAUAAAUCUUCUCGUGCAAGUACCAAAUACUUCAUUUGCCCAAGUUCCAUAGGCAUUGCUACUAAAUCCACAACCCACUUGUAAUAUAAAGCCAAAGGGUAUGUUGGAUGUAACCCAUCUUGAUGCCCAAUAUUUGAAUAUACUUGGCAAGUCUCACAAGAUUCUACAAAUUUUGUUAUGUCUUUGUACAUUCCUUUCCACCAAUAUUUUUCAUUUAACUUAGUGAAUGUUGUCCAAAUACCUCGAUGCCGUACCCAUAAAUUUUCAUAAAAUUCUUUAAUAAUCCUUUGUUGAGCUUUAAAACCACAUAUCACCCUUUGUAGUACUUCUCCUCUCUUUUUUGGAUGCUUCCAUAAAUAUCCAUCAUGUAAAAAAUAUCUAUAGGCUUUCUUACGAAUUUUCUUAAAUUCUUGAUCCGUCCAACUUUUUUGUCGUUUUAAUGUGCUCAAAUACUUUCUAACAUCUUUCCAUUCAUUUUCAUAUAAAUCUCUUAAAAAUGCUUCCAAUGGUAAAUUAAAACAUACACCCUUUUCUUUUGAUAAUGCAUUGGUAUAAAAUUUUGUAUCCACAUCAUCUUCUAAAUCAAUCAUCUUUUUUUCAUCAUUAUACCUUGCUCUCGAUAACAUAUCUGCAACUAAAUUUUCUUUCUCUGCAAUAUGUUUAAAUUUAGGAUUCAUAGAUUUGAUAUAUGCUAUCCACCUCAACAUAGCAAUAUCAGGAGUUGAACAACUUAUAAUCAUGCCUAACAAAGGUAGACAAUCUAUUUCUAUAACUACUGAUGCUCCAAUCAAGUAUUCUUUUUCAUUUUUCAUAGCUAUUAUUAUACCCCAUAAUUCUCUUUUGAUUUGCGCAUAUGUCCUUUGCUUAGAAUUCAAUACCUUUGCUCCAAAUCUUACUACAUAUUUAUUUUCUUGUUCAUCAUCUUGUCCAACUGCCCAAUCUAUUCCAAUUGGACUUGCAUCAACUGUUAAUACCACUGGCCUUCCACCUUCAUAAUUUACUUUCUUCAAAGUUGGAGAUGAAAAAAGAAGUUCUUUUAAUUUUUCCAUAGCUUUUCGUUGUUCUUCUUUCCAUUGAAAUUUUUGAUUCUUUCUUAACAACUCAUAUAAUGGAUCUGCUAUAUGUGCAAAGUAAGGUAUCCAUAUAUGAUAGAAAAUACAUGUUCCUAAAAACCUUCUCACUUCCGUUGUAUUUAUACAUUCUUUCAUCUUUUUAAUAAUAUCAAUCUUUUCUAUACUUGGCUUACGUCCAUAUGAACCACAUAUGUGUCCUACCACCAAAAUUUCUUUUACUCCAAACAUUGAUUUUGUCCCCGAUAAGGUUAAAUGAACUUCUUCCAAUCUUUUUAAAAUCUUCUCACAAUCUUCAAUAUGAUCUGCCACAAACUUCCUACAUCCCUAUGAAUCUAAAGUUUCAUCCUUUCUUUCUUCUUCACAUCCCUUAAUAGGUACAUCAUCCAAGAAAGGCAUUGUUAUUCUUGGAAUAAAAUCUCUUAAUACCUUAUGCAUUCCAUUCAUCAUAUGUCCUACAAAAUUUGUAGCCCCUUGUAGUAAUGUGCAUAUUCUAACCAAUCCUAACAGUGUCUUCAUAGUUGUCAAAUCCCUACUUUGUAUUGCCAAUUGAAAUUGAUCAUAACUUGAAUAAAGAUCAUCCAUUGAGUAGAUAGCUCUUCCAACAAAUGCUUCUGCAAAUUCAUCCACAAUUGGACUUGAACCCAUAUUUCUAAUAGUCACUUUAUUUACGGGUUGCAUAUCUUGUAUAAAUCUCAUUGUUCUAUUUUUCUUUGGCACUGUAAACCAUCGAUUAGAAUAAGGUGCUAUAGAUGGUUCCAAAAUUCUCAUUUUAAUCUUUUCAUUGAAUAAAUCUACUAACUUAGAUAAAUGUGCUCUUGGUACUGGAAUUGGUUGCAAAUUCCAUGGUUCAUGAGGAAUAGUAAAAAUAACCAUGGAUGCUACAAUAUUUGGAUCAAUACACCCCAUUUCAUGUGCUUCAAAUACAAAAGCUUUUCCAUGAUGUGAAAGCAUAUCCCUAAAAUAUUUUUCUUCACAUUUUGUCAAAAAUCCAUCACCUCCAACAUUUAACCCAUCUAAUGUAACAUCCAUAAAUUUAUGCCCUAUCUUCCUUGGAUCUCUUAGAUUCUGUUGUAUCGAUGCUCCACUUAUCAUUUCUUCACAAUCAGAUGGUAGUGGCAAAGCCACUAGUUUGACCUUCUUUGCUAUUGAUUUAUACUUAGUUUCAACAUAUACCUCUUGGCAACUUAAAUUUUCUUUAAAUCCUUGAAUUUAAUCAUAAAAUUCUUUAAAACAUACAUUAAUAACUCUAUUCUCUACUUGUAAUCGAUAUUAUAAUAGAUAAUUUAUUUCCUCAAUAGUAUCUGCAAAACCUACUUCUUCAUAUGCUCCUGAAAUAAAUUCAUUUUCAACCAAUUCUCCAUUUUCUUUCAAAUUUUUUUCAAUAUUUUUAAUAUAACAUCUGUCCCUCUUUUUCAUUUUGUCAAUAGUCUUAAAAGUCAAUACACAAUCUUGUGUCAUCCCAAUAAGUCCAAUAGAUAACAAUUCUUUUUCAAAAUUAAGCGGGAGCUUUUCUUUCUCUAAUCUAUUGCAACUCCACCUUAUAAUGGUGUGUGGUAAAAAUCCUCAAGGUCUUCAAAUUUCUCAUUUGAUAUUGGUUUCUCUCUCAACUUAUCACUAUUUCUCUCAUGAUUAGCACAAACAGUUAAAAAUUGAACUGCUUUCAUCCCAUCUUGGCUUCUUAUUCUUGCAUAAGCUGAACCAUCAUCCAUUAUUUUUGUUUCCAUUUGUUUCGAAAUAAUAUAUGGUUUUUCGAAUAUAAUAGGAUAUGUAGACAUGUCUUGCACAAAGAAAUUCUGUUCAUGAAUAACAACUCCAAUUGUCACUUUGAUAUUUGGAUAUGCUCCAUACAAAUCUCCCUUUGAAUUAUUCGCAGCUCUUAUCAUCCACCCAUAUUCAGUAUCAAUAGGCCAUUUUUCCUUGUUAUAUAAUUCCUUUGACAUCAAAUUGAUUUCAAAACCAUGAUCAAUUAAUGCUACAACUGGUUCUUCUAAAUUUCUCAAUUUUAUUAAAGUCUCCGUUGUAGCCUUUGCCCAAUGACUUCUAGAAUAAUGGCUAGAAGCUUGAAUGACAUCUUCUUUUUCUGCAAACCUUACUCGCAAGACAUCUCCAAAAUUUUGUAUUUCAUCUUCUUCAUUUUGAUUUCUUUCCAUUGCUCUUGUUCCUUGUGCAUUUGAUGUCAUAGAGUCUCCUAUAGAUUGUCAUUUUUUCUUUAUUGUAUCAAUAAUAACUUCAUUAAAUUCACUCUUUGCAAUUCUUAGAAUUUCAAUAAUUAUGAAUUCAACCUUUUCACUUAAAAUCUGCUCCUCCAAUACCUUCUUCAAAUCUGUAGCUGCUUCAAUAUCUGAUUGUAAUUUAUAAGUGGGAGCCAUUGCUUUUUCUUUUCUAAUUUCCCUCUCUUUUGUAGAAAUGUUCCCAAUUGUCUCUUCAUGAAUAGAAUUCUUUUGUUGUUGUGCUUUUUUCCCCCUUGUAGUUCUUUUUAAGGGCCCUUCAUUAUUUUCAUCUCUCCUUCAUUUUUCUUCUAUUAAUGCUUCAUAUUGACUCCUUGCAAUAUGAGCAUGUACAGAUAAUCUAUCUACUGGAUCAUCCCACCCAGUAAUUUAUCGAAUGUUAUUACCAACACGUUUUAAAUCAUCUCUAGUAAAAUUUUUCUUUUUAGCAUACCUCAUUGCACUUGUCCACAAAGAAUUAGAUUCUUCCAAAAACUCAAGAUUUAUACUUAAACAUCUACUAGGAUCUACUUCCACCCAAUAUGUUGAUGCUUCAUUGCUUGAGAUUGUCUGCACUUUAAAAGUAUCUCUAAUAAAUAACUUUAUUCCUCGUUUAUCAAAAUUUGUUUCCAAUUUUUCUCCAUUUUUUUUUGAGUGUAUCAUACCAUCUCUAAAAAAAACAACUCCUUUACGUAAUGCCUCUGUAAAUUCUUCACAUUCCCUCUUCAAGUGAUCUAUGCUGUCACACCACAUGCAUCUAUGUACUACAUCCUGCAUUGGCCUUGGUCUUUGUUUUGUUGAUAUUCUUGAUGAUUGACCUUUCUCUUCAAGUUUUGUAAAUUUUAUUUACAAAUCUCUCAUCCCACAUAUGAUUUUAUCAAUUCCCAUUUCUUCUUUUUUUAUUGUAGCCAUUGAAGGUUGAAUCAAAGAUGUUGGAUAGAUACUAGACACCUUUACCUUAGAUGCUUGUAAUGGUCUUUGAUCACCCCCCAUAUCUUUUCUUCUUUUUCUUUUUGUCAACGUCCUUACAGCAUCCUCUAUCCUUUCCCAAUUUGUUGUCAAUCCUUCAUCUUCUUCUUUAUCUUCAAGCAUGAAUUCCAACUUCUCUUGCAACUUUCCAUCAGUUUCUUGAAGAAAGAGCUCCACCUUACUUGGAUCCAAUAAUUGUCUUUCUUUCUUUGAUAAAGAAGAAUAUUGCUUUUCAAACUUCCUUAAUAAUUCUAUUGCUAGAAGAUCCUUCUUUGGCUUUUCAAUCCAUUCAAAAAAAGACCUUUUUGUAACCCUAUCACUAUCUUCUAAAAAAAACUCAUCCUUCAAAGCUUGAGAAAAUUUCUCCCAUGAACCUCCAAAGUGUUGUAUAAGAAACUUAACUUGAUUUCUUAUCUCUCUUGCAAAGGCUAAUUCAAAUAAUUGAACCAUCUCGCUUUCUGAAAUACGUUUCAAUUCCAAUUCUUUUACAUAACAUCUUAAAUAUUUUGUAAUAUCCUUUCCUUCAAAUUGAUCAUUCUUGUCCAUGACCGCUUGUAAUGCUUUAUUGGCCAUACUCUCUUUGCGAUCUUUAACUUGUUGUUCUUGUUGUUGCAUGAAUAAGGUCAAAGCUUCAAACAUGCUUGCAAAGUUAGGAUCAAAAUGCAUACCUUGUCCUCCAAAUGAAGCUCUUCUUCGAAUUCUACUUGAAGCACUAUCCAAAUUGCCUCCUUCCAUUUUCCUUUAAUUCCUUCUCCAAAAUUCAAAUAAUAAAAAUAAUAAUAAAUUCCUUCCACCUCAAGCGUUUCACGUUGGGGUUACCAAAUAAGUUGUAAUGUGUGAAGUCUUGCUUGAGAAUGCUCCGGGCACCUAGUUGUAGAAGGUAGAAUAGAAAUUGUGAUAACAAAAUCCUAAUUCUAAUAGAAUACUAACAAUUCUCUAAUUAGACUAUAAUAAUGGUAAACAAAUGUAAUCAAAUUCAAAACAACUGAAUGAAAUUUCAAACAAACAAUAAAAUUCUUAAAAAAAUAUUAGAAUGAUCACAAAUAUUACUCAAAUAUAUGUCAAUUCAAUCUUAAUUUAAUUAUAGUUAAAACCCUAUUAAAUUUCACUCAAACUUUAGACCAAACCUAAUUAAAUCUUAAACCCUAAUAAAUCCUAAACCCUAAGUCAAAUUCUAAACAAACCUUAAAUUAAAUCCUAAAUCAAACCCUAUUUCGAACCCUAAAUCCUUAACCAAAUCUUAAUACCUAAUCCAAACUCUAAUCCAAUCCUAAACCCUAAUCCAAAUCCUAAAUCCUAAACCAAACCUUAAAUCAAAUCCUAAUCCAAACCCUAAAUCAAAUCCUAACUAAAUCCUAAACCCUAAUCCAAAUCCUAAUCCAAAUCCUAAAUCAAAUCCUAACCAAUUUCUAAAUCCUAAUCCAAUCCUAAUACAAAUCCUUAUCCAACCCUAAAUCCUAACCAAAUUCUAAAUCCUAAUCCAAACCCUAAUCCAAACCCUAAUCCAAACUCAAAAUCAAAUCCUAACCAAAUCCUAAUCGAAACCCUAAAUCAAACCCUAAUCAAAUUCUAAAUCCUAAUCCAAAC